CUGCUCGCGCCGUCAGCCGUCUACUACCUGGGCCGAGGGAGCUGGAGCCCGGCCCUGGGGAGAUGGCUGCGGUCCCAGCAGCGGAGAGAAGCAGAUACAGCGCAUCGCAGCUCCAUGUCCCAGCCAGGGCUCCCUUCCCCAGCCCCCGCCCGUGGAUGUGAUGGCGGCUCCGGCUCUGCCCCGCUGUCUGUCCCUCCUCGUCCUCCUCUUGUCCCUGGCCAUCCCUCAGGCAUCUACAGCAGUGAACGGAUUGAGCAUCUCCUCACCUGGUAGGGACAGGAGUGGCUGGAGAAUCCUUAAAGGCCAUGCGUGGCCUACAGCCAGCCCCACACGAAGCAUCUUCAAGGCAAAUGCUUCCAACAUCACAUGCUUCUAUAACUCGAGAGCCAACGUCUCCUGCACCUGGAACCAUGAUGAGGGCCUGCGGGCCACCGCCUGCUACUUGCACAGCCGUCAGCCUCCAAGAGAGCUGGUUUUUCCUGAAAAAAAUUGGAACCACACCUGUGAGCUGCAACGAGUGAAGCCGGGAUCCUGGGCAUGCAACCUGGUCCUGGGACCUUCUCCAGAAUCUCAGAAACUGACCGUAGUGGACUUCAUGAAAUUGACGGUGAUGUGCUCUGAAGGCGGGAAGUGGACGAGGAUAAUUACCCAGGAUAUCACGCCCUUUGAUUACAUUCGUCUGGUUCCACCCCACUCACUCCGAGUCGCCCACAUAGAGACCCGUAGGUGCAACAUAACCUGGACCAUCUCCCAGGUAUCCCACUACAUCCAAGACGUCAUGGAAUUUGAGGUCCGGACUAGGUCUGCAGGCCGCAGCUGGGAGGACGUCCCACUACUGAUCCUCAAGCAGAACCAGCGAUGGAUCUUCCUGGAGAAUCUCACUCCAGGCACGGAAUAUGAGCUUCAGGUGCGGGCCAAGCCCCACCUAGGCAGCCAUGAGGUUUGGAGCCACUGGAGCCAGCCCCUGGCCUUCAGGACAGUCCCUGCAGGUACUGAUGGGAAGCUGAGAUGGGGAUGCAGCCUGGAAAGGAGAAAGAGACUGGCGGGGCAGUCUUGGGAAACCGAGAAGAAGAUCCCACCUCUCCCUUGGUUGGUCCCCAUCUUCUUGGGCGUUGGCAGUUUCUUUGGUCUUGUCCUCUUGGUUUACUUUCUGGGCAGCUUCCAGUGCAUCAGGCUACGGCUGAAGAACGUUCUCAAGUGUCACAUCCCAGACCCCUCGGAGUUUUUUCCCCAGCUGAGCUCUGAGCAUGGAGGAGAUUUCCAGAAGUGGCUCUCUUCACCUUUCCCCUCGUCCUCCUUCAGCCGCAGUGGCCCAGACCCCGAGAUCUCCCCACUGGAGGUGUUGGACAGGGACGCCAAGGCCACACAGCUGUUACUGCUGCAGCAGGACAAGGGCUCAUUGUCCUUAGCUGAGACCAGCGGCCACUCGGUGACCAGCUGCUUCACCAACCAAGGCUACUUCUUCUUCCACCUCCCAGAUGCCCUAGAGAUUGAGGCCUGCCAGGUGUACUUCGUUUACGACCCAUGCACAGAGGAGCUUAAUGAGGGUGGGCCCAGGGCCCCUGAAGGAGCUCUCCUUCCACCCCUGCCGACUCCACCAGGGGAUGACGAUGCCUAUUGCACCUUCCCCCCCGGAGAAGACCUGCUGCUCUUCUCUCCGAGUCUCCUCAGUGGCCCAGGCCCCCUGAACGCUUCCCAGCAGGGCACUGAGGCUGGUGAAGAGAGGCUGGCCUCCAGCCCACAGGAGGGAAUCCCUGGAGAUUCGAUCCCCCAGCCACUGGGGCCUCCUGUUCUGGAAGCCCCUGACCUGGUGGAUAUUCAGUCACCCCCAGAGCAUGAGCUGGGAGAAGCAAGAGAGAAGGUACCUGGCCCCAGUCCAAGGGAGGGGACCAGCUUCCCCUGGGCCAGCCCUCCCGGGCAAGGCCAAGUCAGGGCCCCCACUGCCUGCCUGACCCUGAACACUGAUGCCUACCUAUCCCUCCAAGAGCUCCAGGAUCGGGACCCAGCUUACUUGGUGUAGACAGACAGCCAGAGCUGGGAGGCAGGUGGCCGUCCACUGCUGCGCCAGGCCUGCUUGAGGACUCCCUGUCCAUGAGGCUUUUCCCCUGCUGAGACACGGUGUCCAGCAACCCCUGGACAUCUCUGCCCAGAGGGCCUCACCCAGUCCUGCACACUCAGCUGUUGAUUUCCAAACCUCAGUUGCUGCUCCCUGGUCCUAUUGCCCAAGCCAAGAACUUUGGGGGUGGGGUCCUUUGACUCCCCCAUUCCCUCAUUCGUCGUGGAGUCCUGUGGUUUUACCUCUGAAGCAUUUCUCCUCUCCAGCCCUAUAGCUACUUUUCAGGGAGAGUUUGUGGUUCUCCAGUGGUCUUCACCCUGGCUUACUCACUGGGCUUCCUGCCUGGAUCACACCCCUCCCACCCACCCACCAGCACAGGACAAUCAGCGGAAUCUUUCCAAAACAUAAAUGGAGCUUUGCUGCUCCUCCUGGAGAAGGAAAUGGCAACCCACUCCAGUAUUCUUGCCUGGAAAAUCCCAUGGACAGAGGAGCCUGGCGGGCUACAGUCCAUGGGAUUGCAAAGAGUUAGACACGACAGAGCAAAUGGGCAUACAUGUGCUGCUCCUGGUUUAAAAUCCUGCCAUGGCUCACCACUGCCCUCUGUACAGCUUCUUGACCUGUUGGUCCUCCAGCAUCAUGUUGGGACAUUCCCAUCUAGAAUCCUCCCAACAGUCCUACUCAGAGACCCUGAUGCUGGGAAAGAUUGAAGGCAGGAGGAGAAGGGGGCGACAGAGGAUGAGAUGGUGGGAUGGCAUCGCUGACUCAACGGACAUGAGUUUGAGCAAACUCCUGGAGACAGUGAAGGACAGAAGAGCCUGGCAUGCUGCAGUGCAUGGGGUCUCAAGGAGUCGGACAUGACUGAGCGACUGAACAACACAGUCCUACAGAGCCACUUGGAACUCCCUCACUUCCCCACUCCUUUGUACGUGUGAUUUCCUGCUCCUGGGGGGCCCUCUCCUCCCUCAUCUGGGUGACAAACUCCCCUUACAGGGAAACACUGCCUCCUCUCAUGUGCCCAAACUCGAGAUUCAGUGCUGGAGGGACAGGCCCUCAGGGACACAGGGUGGUGGGACAAAGUAUGUGUAUCACAUCCCCUUUGGGGUCUCUCGUGACCUCGGAAUGCUUGCCUACAGCUGUGGCCCGUCUGUGCACAAAUGCCCAGCAAAGUGGACGCGGGCUGGAUCUUUCCACUAUGGCAAGCCGCUGGAAAGUAAACCCCUCCAAGUGGCGGGUCCUGAUGCUGUCGUAGGAGCCCUCCCUCAGGCCCCUCCUGCUCCAACUUCCACAGGAGGGGUCUUUUCUGCAGCUCAAAGGCUGGCACACUGCCUCCAGAUGGCAGUUCCAUUGCCUGCCCUGGACAGAGUCGACUACAUCCUAUCGUAGUCCCUGGGUGAAUUAAUAACCUAUCUGGCAUCACCAUGCCUGGUCUCCGUGUGCCCUUGCUGCCUUCAUGCAGGGUGGAUAUCAUCGAGCUCUCAGGGGCACCCCUGGCACUUUGACAUUUCUGAGGUCAAGCCUUGGAGAGGCGAGCAGUCCAUGUCCACUAGGUUCCGGCAUGCCCGCCCCAGCAAGGGGCUCAUCCCCUCACAUGGCAGGCCUGCCCCACCACACAUGGUGAGCCCCUUCCUUCUUGGUGCUCCCACCACCCGUCCACUUCUCGUCCUUCUAUCCCUGGCAUUGAUCACACUUGUGAUGACAAGAAUUCUCCCAGAGGUGAAGACCUCGAGAUGUUCCUGCUAUCAGCUGAGGUGUGAAAGCGCGCAGUGCCUGCGUUUAUAGGCCCUGCUUUCAACUGAUUGAGCACCUGACAGAAGCCCACUCAUUAGUUCAUCAGCAGCAUGCUGAUACAUGUGUGUAUCAUGUUUGUUAUUGUUUACUUGAUAUUUUUCUUUAAAUCAGUUCAAUUUUUGUUUUAAUAGCUUUAUUUAAGGAAAAAUUUUAUGUUGAUUCUGUAAAUGAAAAAACCAAUGUUCAGUAUAAAUAAAAGGCAAUAGCACAAAGUAAGUACAAUAAAACAGAAUGUUUCAGUUUA